GAUGAAGAACGUAGCGAAAUGCGAUAAGUAAUGUGAAUUGCAGAAUUCAGUGAAUCAUCGAAUCUUUGAACGCACAUUGCGCCCCUUGGUAUUCCGAGGGGCAUGCCUGUUCGAGCGUCAUAUUAACCACUCCCGCUUGCGGGGUCUUGGGCUUCGCCUCCGGGCGGGCCUUAAAAUCAGUGGCGGCGCCAUCUGGCUCUAAGCGUAGUAAUUCUUCUCGCUAUGGAGUCCUGGUGGAUGCUUGCCAUCAACCCCCAAUUUUUCUAUGGUUGACCUCGGAUCAGGUAGGGAUACCCGCUGAACUUAAGCAUAUCAAUAAGCGGAGGA
rnacentral:misc_RNA from 1 species